CUUUCCUUUACUCUCUCAUCAUGUUUGUUUCUAUUCACUUGGAAUCGAGUGACUUUGUCGCUAUGUGACAUGGAAACUGUUUUGGGUGAUUAACUUUCAUCUAUUUAUUCAAUGGAAAUGAAUUAUUUUCUUGGAUAAUCAAAAACGAAACUUUUAUGUUUACAAUUGAGAAUGAAACUAAUUCAAUUUGAUUUAUCUUCUAUCUGGUUGAUCUUUUUGAUUCCAUCUCUUUUGCUCCAAUGGAACAAUUGAAAUCUCCUAAUCAAAUCAAUUUCCUAAUGAGAUCAAGAUUUUUUUGUGGGUUCAUUAAGUAUAAGAAAAUCUCAAUUAACCAAAUUACAUCAUGGAGGUAAACGAUUCUCUGAUAGUAAGAAUUGGAAAAUCAGAUUCAACCUUAACGAUGUCCUCGAGAGAUUAUCUUUAACUCACCUUAACUCACUUGAGAUUAUCCAACUUAUCAAAAAGUGAUUACAGUUCCUUACAUUUUCAGUGAUCCACUUUUACCGUUGGUUCCUUCAACUCAAUCGUUUCAUUUCAUCGUUUUCUUCAUUCAGUAAACUAAAUUGUUCUCCAUUGACUCGAUUUGGCUCCUUUUUCUUAUAUUCUGUGUAUUAUUUCAUCUUUAAUAUGAAUUCCAUUUUCUCUGAAGCUUUUUGGAAUUUUUUCUCACUUCUUUGUUUCUUUCUUCGCUUCAAGAUUAAUUACUGACAUUAAUCAUUCUCCCAUUGUUAUUCCAAAUUUCUAAGUGUCAUCAAAUUUGUGUUAUUACUUUUGUUUUGUUUUUGUUCAUAAUCGGAAGUGAUUCUAAUUUACAAGAAUCGACGAUGAUCCACUUUGGUAUGAUUCUUGAUUUCUUUCAACGCAACAUGUUCCUCAUCUUUCUUGAUUUCAUGUUAACAUUUAUGUAUAUUGGUUUGUACAAAAUGAUCAACAAUUCAAAUAGUCGAAUCUCUUCAAAUAGCUAAUUACUCGUUGACAAUUAAAGCCAUAAACUCAACAGCCAAAGAAGACUAUGGAUUCAAAUAAUAAUUAAAAUGAAAUCAGCUCAUUUUCCUGAAGUUGAUAACCAAUCAAACGAGAUGUAAUGAAGUAAAUUGCAAAUAAACACCAUUUUGCUUAUUUAAA